AUUGAACGCUGGCGGAAUGCUUUACACAUGCAAGUCGAACGGCAGCACGGGGGCAACCCUGGUGGCGAGUGGCGAACGGGUGAGUAAUACAUCGGAACGUGCCCAGUCGUGGGGGAUGACGUAGCGAAAGUUACGCUAAUACCGCAUACGAUCUACGGAUGAAAGCGGGGGAUCGCAAGACCUCGCGCGAUUGGAGCGGCCGAUGUCAGAUUAGGUAGUGGGUGGGGUAAAGGCCUACCAAGCCGACGAUCUGUAGCUGGUCUGAGAGGACGACCAGCCACACUGGGACUGAGACACGGCCCAGACUCCUACGGGAGGCAGCAGUGGGGAAUUUUGGACAAUGGGCGCAAGCCUGAUCCAGCCAUUCCGCGUGCAGGAUGAAGGCCUUCGGGUUGUAAACUGCUUUUGUACGGAGCGAAAAGGCUCUCUCUAAUACAGGGGGCUCAUGACGGUACCGUAAGAAUAAGCACCGGCUAACUACGUGCCAGCCGCCGCCGUAAUAC
rnacentral:rRNA from 1 species